GAUGAAGAACGUAGCGAAAUGCGAUAAGUAAUGUGAAUUGCAGAAUUCAGUGAACCAUCGAAUCUUUGAACGCACAUUGCGCCCGCCAGUAUUCUGGCGGGCAUGCCUGUCCGAGCGUCAUUUCAACCCAUCAAGCUUAGCGCUUGUGUUGGAGCCCUGCGGCCGCCGCAGCCUCCUAAAAUCAGUGGCGGGCUCGCUAUCACGCUGAGUGCAGUAGUAUUCUUCUCACUCCUGUGGUGUAGCGGGUAACCAGCCGUAAACCCCCCCAUCUAUAAAGGUUGACCUCGGAUCAGGUAGGAAUACCCGCUGAACUUAAGCAUAUCAAUAAGCGGAGGA
rnacentral:misc_RNA from 1 species